UGAUUUCUAUCUUUGAUGUUCAGAUGAAAAUAAAUACAAAUCAUACUUGGUGGUGGAAUUUCUCAAACUUACGUUCGUGAACUAAUCCUUGGUAUGUAAUACUUAUAUAAAAAAAAGGCUUGUC
rfam:Winogradskyella psychrotolerans RS-3 Winogradskyella_psychrotolerans_contig_17, whole genome shotgun sequence.